rnacentral:rRNA from 1 species
UACCAGCACCCCGAGUGGUCGGGACGUUUAUUGGUCCUAAAGCAUCCGUAGCCGGUUCUACAAGUCUUCCGUUAAAUCCACCUGCUUAACAGAUGGGCUGCGGAAGAUACUAUAGAGCUAGGAGGCGGGAGAGGCAAGCGGUACUCGAUGGGUAGGGGUAAAAUCCGUUGAUCCAUUGAAGACCACCAGUGGCGAAGGCGGCUUGCCAGAACGCGCUCGACGGUGAGGGAUGAAAGCUGGGGGAGCAAACCGG